CCACGAGCUUGUGUCGAUUUACGCAGCUCGUGUACUUCCCGAGGAAAAGUGUGAAUUUUAUGUUUUAGGCCAGUUUUUGGCGCUAAAAUACUUGAU
ensembl:ncRNA Y50D4C.11 ncRNA